rnacentral:misc_RNA from 1 species
GAUGAAGAACGUAGCGAAAUGCGAUAAGUAGUGUGAAUUGCAGAAGUACCGUGAAUCAUCGAAUCUUUGAACGCAAAUUGCACUCUCUGGUAUUCCGGGGAGUAUGCCUGUUUGAGGGUCGCUUAACAAACCAUCGAUUUCGUUGCUUUUUUUUUUUAAAAAAGUGAUGUUUAUCGGAUUUGAGCCGUCUUUUUUUUUAUAUUUAAGUGGCUUAAAAUUGAUUUUUUUGGUACGAUCGAAGCGUAUUUUUAUGAUCAAUUUUUGGUUAAAGAAACGCACACGUACCGUUAUUUAUAUGAUGUAAUACGUUUGACUAUUGGAUUUAGUUCAUUCGUAUACGAUAUUUUUCAAUAUUUGACCUCAAAUCAGGUAAGAACACCCGCUGAACUUAAGCAUAUCAAUAAGCGGAGGA